rnacentral:rRNA from 1 species
GGGCCUGCGGAGGGAUCAUUGCUGGAACGCGCCCCAGGCGCACCCAGAAACCCUUUGUGAACUUAUACCUUACUGUUGCCUCGGCGCAUGCCGGCCCCCCUGGGGGCCCCUCCUUCUGGAGGAGCAGGCACGCCGGCGGCCAACCCAACUCUUGUUUUUACACUGAUACUCUGAGAAUAAAACAUAAAUGAAUCAAAACUUUCAACAACGGAUCUCUUGGUUCUGGCAUCGAUGAAGAACGCAGCGAAAUGCGAUAAGUAAUGUGAAUUGCAGAAUUCAGUGAAUCAUCGAAUCUUUGAACGCACAUUGCGCCCUCUGGUAUUCCGGAGGGCAUGCCUGUUCGAGCGUCAUUUCAACCCUCAAGCCUGGCUUGGUGAUGGGGCACUGCCUGUAAAAGGGCAGGCCCUGAAAUUCAGUGGCGAGCUCGCCAGGACCCCGAGCGCAGUAGUUAAACCCUCGCUUUGGAAGGCCCUGGCGGUGCCCUGCCGUUAAACCCCCAACUUCUGAAAAUUUGACCUCGGAUCAGGUAGGAAUACCCGCUGAACUUAAGCAUAUCU